GGAGGCGUACGGGCACCUGGUGGUCCCCCCGGUCUUCAACACCGGUGUGACCCAGCAGCUGGGUCAGGUGGGUUCGAUUCCCAUCCGCCUCCGCCA
rnacentral:tRNA from 1 species